rnacentral:lncRNA from 1 species
UCGUCCCAUGAAAUCUUCCAGGGCUGAUUAGGACCUGUAAGAUAAGAAUAUAGAGAUACAGAGAUGUAAUGACAUUUACUGUAUACUAUUGGAGACAGCGUCCCUGACUUGAAGACGCAGACUCCUGAGCACUCAUCAAUGGCUCCAAAGUGGCAAAGAACAAGCUCAAGCUAGCAUGCUGAAGAGACCUGCCAAGAUCAGCAAAGCUGACUACAGAU